AAUUCGAAGCAACGCGAAGAACCUUACCAGGCCUUGACAUGCAGAGAACUUUCCAGAGAUGGAUUGGUGCCUUCGGGAACUCUGACACAGGUGCUGCAUGGCUGUCGUCAGCUCGUGUCGUGAGAUGGUUGGGUUAACGUCCCGUAACGAGCGCAACCCUUGUCCUUAGUUACCAGCACGUUAUGGUGGGCACUCUAAGGAGACUGCCGGUGACAAACCGGAGGAAGGUGGGGAUGACGUCAAGUCAUCAUGGCCCUUACGGCCUGGGCUACACACGUGCUACAAUGGUCGGUACAAAGGGUUGCCAAGCCGCGAGGUGGAGCUAAUCCCAUAAAACCGAUCGUAGUCCGGAUCGCAGUCUGCAACUCGACUGCGUGAAGUCGGAAUCGCUAGUAAUCGUGAAUCAGAAUGUCACGGUGAAUACGUUCCCGGGCCUU
rnacentral:rRNA from 1 species